rnacentral:rRNA from 1 species
GACGUAGGGCGCGAGCGUUGUCCGGAAUCAUUGGGCGUAAAGCGCGUGUAGGCGGUCCGGUAAGUCCGCUGUGAAAGUCGAGGGCUCAACCCUCGAAUGCCGGUGGAUACUGUCGGGCUUGAGUACGGGAGAGGCGAGUGGAAUUCCUGGUGUAGCGGUGAAAUGCGCAGAUAUCAGGAGGAACACCGAUUGCGAAGGCAGCUCGCUGGAACGUUACUGACGCUGAGACGCGAAAGCGUGGGGAGCAAACAGG